rnacentral:rRNA from 1 species
AGUGAACGCUGGCGGUAGGCCUAACACAUGCAAGUCGAACGGCAGCACAGUAAGAGCUUGCUCUUACGGGUGGCGAGUGGCGGACGGGUGAGGAAUACAUCGGAAUCUACUUUUUCGUGGGGGAUAACGUAGGGAAACUUACGCUAAUACCGCAUACGACCUACGGGUGAAAGCAGGGGAUCUUCGGACCUUGCGCGAUUGAAUGAGCCGAUGUCGGAUUAGCUAGUUGGCGGGGUAAAGGCCCACCAAGGCGACGAUCCGUAGCUGGUCUGAGAGGAUGAUCAGCCACACUGGAACUGAGACACGGGCCAGACUCCUACGGGAGGCAGCAAUGGGGAAUAUUGGACAAUGGGCGCAAGCCUGAUCCAGCCAUACCGCGUGGGUGAAGAAGGCCUUCGGGUUGUAAAGCCCUUUUGUUGGGAAAGAAAAGCAGCAGGUUAAUACCCCGCUGUUCUGACGGUACCCAAAGAAUAAGCACCGGCUAACUUCGUG